UGCUGUAGGCUGCUAUACAGUAGUCAGUAACAACAGUACAACACGCUAUAUUAUAAUUUUAGCGAUGGUACGUAUACUUACUACUUAGCAUAAUAUCAUAAUAUAUUUGAAUGUAUAUUACGUGAUAUAAUCUAUAGCCGAGCACAAACAUCACAAUAUUGUCUACUAUAUAUAAUAUAUAUGUAUAAACACUAUAAACGUAUACACUCAUAUACGAUAUAUAGGCAUAUUAUAGCUGCGGUAUUAUACAUUCGUAUAUCCAUGUAUUAGCGUCGCAGUCAUCAUGCAGUGUUCAAAAACUAUUAUGUGGUGUUUCGUGUUUAUAGCUGUUCUGUUCGUUCUAACAUUUGUGAUUUGUUUAAAAUAUUCCGACCAUUUUGAAUUCUCCAUUUAACCCUUUUUAAUGUUGAAAACGUGUAUAAAUUUGACGAAAAAACCAAAAUAUUUUUCUCGGCCGAACGUACCGAUGCGUCAUGUAUAAUUGAUAUUAUAACUGCGUCCAGUAUAAUUAAAUAUAAUUAUACUAAACAAUGUCUAAAAUAUUUAUCCACCAAAUAUCGUACGCAAACGGAUUGAUGAUGGAAAUUUCAUUUUAAGAAUAGCAUAUUCUUGCAUGAUCACGGAUAAUGAAAAAAAAACUAUGAUGUGCAGUCAGUAUAACAUUAUACAUCACCAUUGCACGAUGGUCAUCAUCACCUGCGACCGAAUUGAAAAACUGCAAGAACUGAUGCCGUAUUUAUAAUAUAUUAUAAUACGACUAGAGCAUUAUAUAAACCAUGAAAAGGAUAUAAUUAUCUUAGUUUGUGAUACAAAUAUAUAGUAUUACUAAUAUAAUAUAAUAUGACUUUGAUAGACAUACAUAUAUGGUUUCGUCGAUGACGUGAUGUGAUCGAAGGUGAUGUACCUAGCUAUAAACUUGCGGAACAACGUGGUCCGACUGGUCCGUGGAUCCGUAUCCAACAUUUAUGCAUCGCCAAAUUUGAUCACGAUAUAGCCGAUUAGCCGAACAACCAUCAAUAAUAUAAUAAGAAUGGAUGAUUUAAUAUUUUUGAUUGAUCUUAAACAAACUCAGAGGUUUUCAACUUUUAAUAUAUUAUUAUAUACAAUAUCAUUGAUGUAGAUAUACCGAACAAUUUUAGCAAUUAUUAUAUUAUACUGUCUAAACACUCUAAACUAUAAUAUUUACAUAUUUUAAUGUUUAUAAAUACAUUUUUAUUUCAUGUAUUUCAUAUUAAAUUUGUUAUUUUGUUACAUUUUUCAAAAUAUAUAAUUAUGCGUAGAUUAUUA